rnacentral:piRNA from 1 species
AAGACUGGAAAAGCUCAGAAAAGAAUUUCU